CCUACGGGUGGCUGCAGUGGGGGAUAUUGCACAAUGGGGGGAACCCUGAUGCAGCGACGCCGCGUGAGCGAUGGAGUACUUCGGUAUGUAAAGCUCUGUCAGCAGGGAAGAAAAUGACGGUACCUGACCAAGAAGCCCCGGCUAACUACUUGCCAGCAGCCGCGGUAAUACGUAGGGGGCAGGCAGUAUCCGGAUUUACUGGGUGUAAAGGGAGCGUAGACGGUUAUGUAAGUCUGGAGUGAAAGCCCGGGGCCCAACCCCGGUACUGCUUUGGAAACUGUGUAACUGGAGUACAGGAGGGGCAGGCGGAAUGCCUGGUGUAGCGGUGAAAUGCGUAGAUAUCAGGAGGAACACCGGCGGCGAAGGCGGCCUGCUGGACUGAAACUGACGUUGAGGCUCGAAAGCGUGGGGAGCAAACAGGAUUAGAUACCCGUGUAGUC
rnacentral:rRNA from 1 species